AAAAAAAAAAAUCGAGGCAACCAAGACAGGGAACGGAUAAGUGACUUUUCAAGAGCAUGACAUUCUUUGGUGACAAAUGUCUCCGGCAUCUCUGAUUGAAGUGUUAGAGCUGCAGGAAACAGGAGAGCACCCACCAUUAAGGCAAAACCUCGGAAUUUGCCUCCGGAGAGAUCCAGUUUCAAAGGGGGUGUUUUCACGCUUGGAGUGUCUCCGGCAGUUUGCUCAGGUGCGUCGAGGAUGUGGGGCGGGGCCUGGUUUCACGUGACGGGAACACGUGGCCCGCCCGGCCCGCCUGGCCCCAGGCCCAGGUUAACAGAGGCCUCAGAGCUCUAGCCGGAGACUCAUCUGCCCCCUAUUGGGACCACCUUGGGGUCACCUGAGGCCCCUGGAUAACGAGGUUCCUGCCAGCUGAGGCCGCACUGGACCUGGGCUGCCCUGGACGAGAAGGCCUUCUCCGCGCACGAGACGCUGCGUAAGGACCGGCGAUGCCAUCUGCCUCGGGGCUGCUCUAGCUCCCUGCCCCUCCCCCAACGGGCCGCACCCAGACCAAGGCCCUCCCAGCCGUGUCCUGAGACCCACCGCAAACCUGUCUCCCCACCUCCUGGCCUCCCCGAGGCACCUCCCCCGCUUCCCCGGAGGCGCAGCACCCGGCCACGUCCACACCGCGGUCCCGAGGCCUGGUGACUUUCCUGAACUGCGUUGGUCCAGCCCAACGCCAGACACCAUCCGGGGAGCUCAGACCUGCUUUCUUCUAGAAUGAUGGUGAAACACAAAGAAAGCUGCUUUUAAGAGCUCGUACCACUGACCCACUUGAGAAAAAAAAGGGACACGGCUUUCAAACGAUUCCUGCGUCCUGUCCCCACGGUGGAGCGCGUUGCCGCAACGUGAGCCGAAAGGUGAUGUGCGGAUCAGGAACCAGCAUUCUGUCUGCCACGGCCGGGCCCGUCUGCUGAGCGAGGAGGCCUCCACCCUGGGGCUCGCCUGCCCGCCCUUGCGCUCCAGAGAACUGAGACGGUGUGAUCCUUUGAUUUCUUCGGGGAGCGCAGACCUGCCAGGUGACACGUGUUUUCUGGCUUGACACUCGCUCAUUCAGCUCUCCCAGCUCCCAGGCCAAUAAACAAAAUUACCUCCUGUUGGUUUUCGACGACCAAAAAGAAGUCGUUUAAAAAAGAAAAAAGGCCAAGAAGGACAGAAGUGUCCAUUUCUUGUUUCUCCUGCGACGCUGACUCUGCUGCUUGAGGUGCAUUAGAAACACGAAGGACCCAAGCUGGCCGUGUGGACCCAGCUCAGCAUCCUCCAAGCUGCGAGUCCAACCCACACCCCAUCCUGUGUGCUGAGCGGGAAUAAUCCUCUCCCCUCCUGCCCCUCUUUCUGGCCACAGAGCCUUUUCUGGAACCAGGGCAGAAGAAUCUCAGAAUCACAGGCCACUUACCCAUUUGGUGUCAUGAAAUAUAAACUGCUAACAUACUUUCACAAAACGGGCUCGAGAAUGAAAUUAAAAUCGGCUCGUCUGAUCUAUUACAAAGUCUAGUAGAUUCUAAAUAAGUAUUCUGUGAAUUAUAUUUUAAUAUUUUCAAUGACAUGAGAUAUUUCAAAAUUAUUGGUUACAAGUGUGUAAUUAAAGCUAUUACUUAUGAUUACAAGAUGUUUUUAGAGUGCUCUUCUUGGCAACAGAAAGUAGUCCCAGUGAACUGCGCCGAGUACCACUUUUUGGAAGCCAUGGCAGGCAUCGAGGUAAUACUAGGAUUCAGUUUGUCUUCCAGAACUGCUAAAUAUUUAUCUAAACCCUGGUUUCUCAGUUUCAAAGAAGUCAGCUAAUUCUAUUUUUACUUAAAAAACCUGGGUGCCGAGGAGUUCCCGUCGUGGCGCAGUGGUUAACGAAUCUGACUAGGAACCAUGAGGUUGCAGGUUCGGUCCCUGCCCUUGCUCAGUGGGUUA